UACGUAGGCAGCAAGCGUUGUUCGGAGUUACUGGGCGUAAAGGGUGCGUAGGCGGCUCUGUAAGUAUGGUGUGAAAUCUCCCGGCUUAACUGGGAGGGUGCGCUAUAGACUGCGGGGCUCGAGUGUGGGAGAGGAAAGUGGAAUUCUUGGUGUAGCAGUGAAAUGCGUAGAUAUCAAGAGGAACACCAGUGGCGAAGGCGAGUCCCUGGACGAUACCUGACACUGAGGCACGAAAGCUAGGGGAGCAAACAGG
rnacentral:rRNA from 1 species